AGUGAACGCUGGCGGUAGGCCUAACACAUGCAAGUCGAACGGCAGCACAGUAAGAGCUUGCUCUUACGGGUGGCGAGUGGCGGACGGGUGAGGAAUACAUCGGCAUCUACUUUUUCGUGGGGGAUAAUGUAGGGAAACUUACGAUAAUACCUCAAAAGAUUUAAGGGAGAAAGUAAGGGUUAUUCGUACAUUGGCCGCACGAAAGGACCGACGCCGGAUUUGUUAGUUGGGGGGGUAAAGGCCCACCAAGGGAGCAUUCCGUAGCUGGCCUGGCAGGAGAAUCGGCCACAUUGGAACUAGGACACGGCCCAAACUCCUACGGGAGCCAGAGGUGGGGAAUAUUGGAAAAUGGGCGCAGGCCUGAUCCAGCAAUACCGCGGGGGUGAAGAAGGCCUUCGGGUGGUAAAGCCCGUUUGUUGGGAAAGAAAAGCAGCAGGUUAAUACCCCGAUGUUCUGACGGUACCCAAAGAGUAAGCACCGGCUAACUUCGUG
rnacentral:rRNA from 1 species